AUUCUAUGAAAGGGUUAUUUAUGCUGCGUUUCUCUUGACCUUACCCUGGCCUAGAUGACACCCGUGAAUGGGGAGGGAAUGAUCAUUAUUACAGGUACAGUUGGUGACUUGUUGGUGACUUGUGGUCCUGUUGGUGACUUGGUUCUUCAGAUAUGGGUCUCAGAUGACUUUGGGUCUCAGAUGAUUUGUGGUUCCGAGUGCAAGCCGAAGCUUUGAUCCUGUGCUCCGAGAUACACAGCCAGCCAGUCUUGU
rnacentral:lncRNA from 1 species